rnacentral:rRNA from 1 species
CGACCGGCGCACGGGUGAGUAACACGUAUGCAACCUGCCCUCCGCAGGGGGAUAACCCGGAGAAAUCCGGACUAAUACCGCGUGGUACAUCUGUGGGGCAUCCCACGGGUGUUAAAAGGAAGCGAUUCCGGCGGAGGAUGGGCAUGCGGCGCAUUAGCUAGUUGGCGGGGUAACGGCCCACCAAGGCGACGAUGCGUAGGGGUUCUGAGAGGAAGGUCCCCCACACUGGUACUGAGACACGGACCAGACUCCUACGGGAGGCAGCAG